rnacentral:rRNA from 1 species
AUUGAACGCUGGCGGCAGGCCUAACACAUGCAAGUCGAACGAGUGGCGGACGGGUGAGUAAUUUCUGGGAAACUGCCUGAUGGCGGGGGAUAACUACUGGAAACGGUAGCUAAUACCGCAUACCAUCAGAUGUGCCCAGAUGGGAUUAGCUAGUUGGUGGGGUAACGGCUCACCAAGGCGACGAUCCCUAGCUGGUCUGAGAGGAUGACUUGCCACACUGUAACCGGGACACGGGCAAGGGUCCUCGGGGAGGCAGCAGUGGGGAAAAUUGCACAAUGGGUGCAAGCCUGAUGCAGCCCUGCCGUGUGUAUGAAGAAGGCCUUCGGGUUGUAAAGUACUUUCAGCGGGGAGGCGUUACCCGAUGAAGAAGCACCGGCUAACUCCGUGCCAGCAGCCGCGGUAAUAC